rnacentral:tRNA from 2 species
AUAACUUUAGGUUAAAAAAACUGUAAACCUUCAAAGUUUAAUAUAACGUAAUGUUAAGUUAUG